rnacentral:misc_RNA from 1 species
UAAAUUCGAUAAGUAGUGUGAAUUGCAGAAUUCAGUGAAUCAUCGAAUCUUUGAACGCACAUUGCGCCCCUUGGUAUUCCAUUGGGCAUGCCUGUUCGAGCGUCAUUUGUACCCUCAAGCUCUGCUUGGUGUUGGGUGUUUGUCCCGUCUCCGCGCGUGGACUCGCCCCAAAGUGAUUGGCAGCCGGCGUACUGGUCCCGGAGCGCAGCACAUGUCGCGCAAACGAGUGCCUUGGUACGGCGGCGUCCAUAAGCCCCUCUCUCACGCUCUUGACCUCGGAUCAGGUAGGGAUACCCGCUGAACUUAAGC